GAGUGGACCGCAGCGCGCAGCCACAUGCCCUGGCUGCCAUGGGCCAGACCGCCUCCACCUCCCCCGCCCGCCUGGCCUGUCCUGAGUGCAUUUCCCUGCACUGUGUCGUCACUGCACAGCCAGUCACCGCGGUCUCAGUCAUCGGCGCGGAUGGCUAUGCUGGGGUCCCAGGGUGGCCGCAGCAGUCAGGGUCACUGUGGGAGCCCUGGGGUGGAGUGACAAACCGCAUUGUCCUGUGCCCGCCAUGGCAGAAGCGCAGCCUUUGUAUGGAGGCCCAACCGCGCUCCCGUCUGGAGAAGCGGCUUCCGGGGUGUGGCUGCCGGGUCGGCUCUGGUCCACAGCACGGUGCCGGGGCUGCAGGUUGUUGAGGGC
rnacentral:lncRNA from 1 species